rnacentral:lncRNA from 1 species
GUUUAUGAACCCAUUUAUAGAGCCAAGGGUUAGAGCACAGGCUGAGUGAGUGUUUCAGUUUGUGGCCAUGUUAGUGCCAUUAACUGGUGAAAUAGUCAUGUCCAGGAAUAUGGAAUAGAGGUGGAAAUGGAUCUUAGACAGGCUACUGACAUGGUGAGGACGAUAGUGGAAAGGCAAGUAUUACAAAAGAGUGGCAAUGCAUAGAUUUUAAUUUUUGAUAGUUUGUUAUCCCUACAGAGAUGUGUGUGGUAAUUAUUUGUAAAUUAGAAUAUUUCACUUCAUUUUCUAAACAUGCAGAGGAACAUUUUCAGUGGAUUGAAAAAUGGCCAAAAA